rnacentral:tRNA from 1 species
CAAGAGUUAGUUUAUGAAAAUAUUAGUUUUGGGGAUUAAAGAUAGAAUUUUUCUACUCUUGA